CUUGACUCCCAUAAGAGGUCCAGCCUGCCCAGUGAUACUAUUAAACGGCCGCGGUACUCUGACCGUGCGAAGGUAGCAUAAUAACUUGUUCUUUAAAUGGGGACUAGCAUGAACGGCAUCACGAGGGUCUCACUGUCUCCUUUUUCUAAUCAGUGAAACUGAUCUCCCCGUGAAGAAGCGGGGAUAAAAAUAUAAGACGAGAAGACCCCAUGGAGCUUUAAACCCAAUAGACACCUCUGACUAAUCUAACCCAAAACACUUCUUAAGUUCUGUCUAUUGGUUUUAGGUUGGGGUGACCACGGAGUACAAUAAAUCCUCCAUGACGUACGGGACUUCCCUCUUAUCCUUGAACCACAUUUCUAAGAAUCAACAAAUUGACGUUUGAUGAUCCAAAAUUUUGAUCAACGUACCA
rnacentral:rRNA from 1 species